GAAUAUGGGUAUCUUUUCAUAUACCUACUAUAUAGAUGCCACCCCUGUGACAGAAUAUGGAUUGGAAGUGCAGAACUUCAUCCUAGACUUUGAAGGUGUUGAUUGUUUGACAUUCAGAAUCGGGCAAGUGGUUCUAAUGAAGAUUACAAUGGUAUCAAAGCAGUGACUGGCUAAAGUGUGGCUGUUCUAAUAUGCACAUCUAUGAAGCUGGUUGUAGAGGGUCCUUCCAACAUAACCUCAGGAACUGUGUACAAAGCAAUUGCUGAAAGUAACAUGGUUGUCAGAAUUAGAUGGCAAAAACUAUAGAUUAGGAAGUCCAGAACAACAUCCCAGAGUUUGAAGGUGGUGUAUGCUCGACAUUCAGAAUCAGGC